rnacentral:tRNA from 1 species
GCCACGGUAGCUCAGCCUGGUUAGAGCACCUGCCUUGUAAGCAGGGGGUCGCGAGAUCGAAUCUCGCCCGUGGCU